ACGGGACGAAAAACUGGAGGGUGGUCUAAACCGGGUCUAUUUUUUACUUUGUUGUCUUGUUUUUUUGUUUUUUUUUUGUCUUUUUUUUUUUGUUUUGGAUCGAGUCAGAUCCAACCCAAAACUUAUGAGUCAAGUCGGGUUUGUGAGACGAACUUAGUCGUGUACGCCUGUAACUAAAAUAAUGCUUAAGGUUGAAUAAAAA
rnacentral:lncRNA from 1 species